UCAAUAUGGAGUCGUGUUAAGGAAGAGAGAAACAGCUUGGACGUAUUUUCGUCAAUAAAUUUAAUUAGGGAAAGAUCAUUCGAAUAAUUGAAUCCCAUAAUUGAAAGCAAUGAAAUUACAAAUAAAUCAAAAACAAUUUAGUCAUUUAACAAUCCAAAUUGUCGGAAAACGAAGAAUUUGAUGAAUAUUUUAUAAAUGUAAGACCA
rnacentral:lncRNA from 1 species